UCAGACAUGACCUUCCCUGGUGAGGCUGCUGUGUCACAUGUGGGUCAGUAGGUGGCAGAGAGAAGAGGGGCUGCUGUGUUGUGUCUACACUCAGUGUUCUGACCUAUGAACAUCUGAAUGAUUAGUAGCUUAACAUU